rnacentral:rRNA from 1 species
AGCAGCCGCGGUAAUUCCAGCUCCAAUAGCGUAUAUUAAAAGUUGUUGCAGUUAAAAAGCUCGUAGUUGAAUUUCGGGAUUAGUACGUUGGUCGUGCCUUAGGUACGUACUGGUGUUNCUGGUUCCURCCUUCUGNCGAACCAUCAUGUCAUUAAUUUGGUGUGGCGGGGAAUCAGGACUGAAUACUUUGAAAAAAUUAGAGUGUUUAAAGCAGGCUCGCGCUUGAAUACAUUAGCAUGGAAUAAUGAAAUAGGACGUUGACCCUAUUUUGUUGGUUUCUAGGAUUGACGUAAUGAUUAAUAGGGAUAGUUGGGGGCAUUAGUAUUCAAUUGUCAGAGGUGAAAUUCUUGGAUUUAUUGAAGACUAACUACUGCGAAAGCAUUUGCCAAGGAUGUUUUCAUUAAUCAAGAACGAAAGUUAGGGGAUCGAAGACGAUCAGAUUCCGUCGUAGUCUUAACCACAAACUAUGCCGACUAGGGAUCAAGGGAUGUUAGAUUUUUUAAUGACUCA